GCAUAUCAAUAAGCGGAGGAAAAGAAACUAACAAGGAUUCCCCUAGUAACGGCGAGUGAAGCGGGAAGAGCUCAAAUUUGAAAUCUGGUAGCCUUCGGUUGCCCGAGUUGUAAUCUAGAGAAGUGUUUUCCGUGCCGGCCCAUGUACAAGUCCCUUGGAACAGGGCGUCAUAGAGGGUGAGAAUCCCGUCCUUGACAUGGACCCCCGGUGCUUUGUGAUACACUUUCAACGAGUCGAGUUGUUUGGGAAUGCAGCUCAAAAUGGGUGGUGAAUUCCAUCUAAAGCUAAAUAUUGGCGAGAGACCGAUAGCGAACAAGUACCGUGAGGGAAAGAUGAAAAGCACUUUGGAAAGAGAGUUAAACAGUACGUGAAAUUGUUGAAAGGGAAACGAUUGAAGUCAGUCAUGCUCUUGGGACUUACCUCCCUUGAGUGGGGUCAACAUCAGUUUUGAUCGAUGGAUAAAGGCACGGGGAAGGUAGCACUCUCGGGUGAACUUAUAGCCUCGCGUCAUAUACAUUGAUUGGGACUGAGGAACGCAGCAUGCCUUUUGGCCGGGAUUCGUCCACGUACAUGCUUAGGAUGUUGACAUAAUGGCUUUAAACGACCCGUCUUGAAACACGGACC
rnacentral:rRNA from 2 species